AGAGUUUGAUCAUGGCUCAGGAUGAACGCUAGCUACAGGCUUAACACAUGCAAGUCGAGGGGCAGCGGGAUUGAAGCUUGCUUCAAUUGCCGGCGACCGGCGCACGGGUGAGUAACGCGUAUCCAACCUUCCGUACACUCAGGGAUAGCCUUUCGAAAGAAAGAUUAAUACCUGAUGGUAUGAUGAAAUUGCAUGAUAGCAUCAUUAAAGAUUUAUCGGUGUACGAUGGGGAUGCGUUCCGAUUAGGUAGUAGGCGGGGUAACGGCCACCUAGCCUACGAUGGAUAGGGGUUCUGAGAGGAAGGUCCCCCACAGUUGGAACUGAGACGACGGUCCAAACUCCGUAACGGGAGGCA
rnacentral:rRNA from 1 species